UUAUAAGGAGCAUAGAAUUAAUGCAUAUGGUUUCGGCCCAUGAUUUUAGAGGUGUAAAAUCCUUUUUUAUAAG
rnacentral:tRNA from 1 species